AGAGUUUGAUCCUGGCUCAGGAUGAACGCUAGCGACAGGCCUAACACAUGCAAGUCGAGGGGCAGCAUUUUUGAAGCUUGCUUCAAAAGAUGGCGACCGGCGUACGGGUGAGUAACGCGUAUCCAACCUGCCCACCACUUGGGGAUAACCUUGCGAAAGUAAGACUAAUACCCAAUGACGUCUCUAGAAGACAUCUGAAAGAGAUUAAAGAUUUAUCGGUGAUGGAUGGGGAUGCGUCUGAUUAGCUUGUUGGCGGGGUAACGGCCCACCAAGGCGACGAUCAGUAGGGGUUCUGAGAGGAAGGCCCCCCACAUUGGAACUGAGACACGGUCCAAACUCCUACGGGAGGCAGCA
rnacentral:rRNA from 1 species